UACAGAGGGUGCGAGCGUUAAUCGGAAUUACUGGGCGUAAAGCGUGCGUAGGCGGCACGGCAAGUCGGGAGUGAAAGGCCUGGGCUCAACCGAGGAACUGCUUUCGAGACUGCCGAGCUAGAGUGCGGAAGGGGCAUCUGGAAUUCCCAGUGUAGCGGUGAAAUGCGUAGAUAUUGGGAAGAACACCUGAGGCGAAGGCGGGAUGCUGGGCCGACACUGACGCUGAUGCGCGAAAGCCAGGGGAGCAAACGGG
rnacentral:rRNA from 1 species